CCCAAAUUUCACCCCAAAUUCCAAAUCCUUCACCCCAAAAUUCAUCCCAAAAUCCAAAUCAUUCACCCCAAAUUCCAGAUCCGUCACCCCAAACUCAAAAUCCUGCAUCCCAAAGCCCAAAUCCUUCACCCCAAAAUUCACCCCAAAAUUCAUCCUGAAUUCCAAAUCCUUCAUCCCAAAAUUCACCCCAAAAUCCAAAUCCUUCACCCCAAAUUCCAAAUCCUUCAUCCCAAAAUUCAUCCCAAAGCCCAAAACCUUCACCGCAAAAUUCAUCCGAAAUCCCAAACCCUUCACCCCAAAAUCCAAACCCUUCACCCCAAAAUUCAUCCCAAAAUCCAAAUCCUUCACCCCAAAUUCCAAAUCCUUCACCCCAAAAUUCACCCCAAAAUCCAAACCCUUCACCCCAAAUUCCAAAUCCCAAAAUCCAAACCCUUCACCCCAAAAUUCCACCACACCCAUCCCAUUUUUUCCCUUUAUUUUGGUGCUUCCCCACCCGGUUUUUAUAUUUUUUCCCCCACCCCGAUGUUUUGUGUUUUAUUUUAUAUUUUGUGUUUUAUUUUAUAUUUUUUAUCCCACUCCAAUGUUUUGUGUUUUAUUUUAUAUUUUGUGUUUUAUUUUAUUUUUUUUCCCCCCACCCUGACAUUUUGUGUUUUAUUUUAUAUUUUGUGGUUUAUUUUAUAUUUUGUGUUUUAUUUUAUAUUUUUCCCCCAACCCUGACAUUUUCUGUUUUAUUUUAGG
rnacentral:lncRNA from 1 species